AGGGUAGCUAAGGAACCAUGCAGUAUGCAAGUUUUUCCAAACGCACUCGAAGCAGUGGCUCUCAGCAACACAUUUGCUCCUGCCAGACCUUCUGCCUCUCACAUUCCCACUCCCUUACUGCUGGGUAAGCAGAACGUUUAAUUCUGUCCAUGGGAAAUGGCGCAGCAGAUUUUUGUCUCCAAAUUAACAGCUUAUAGUGGAGAGACUGGUAGCAGGAGGAGGUUGAGAAGAGAGAGAUGGUGUUGUUCAGUUGCUGGUGUGGUGGCGGUGGUGUGCCAGUUGUCACUUGGGCUCUCACAAUGAUAGCCUAUAUAAACUGAAGUAAAAUUCUAACAGCUAGGUCUGCAAAGGGCUGUAGGCAUCUCACUGCCCUGUGUGGGCCUUGCCAGGCUCCACAAAGCCAUGCCUAGCUGUCAUCUAACUCUGUAAUGAUUUCGGCUCUGCCAGGGAGCAUGUUACAAUUGCCUGAUGGCUCUGGAAGGGGUCUCAGGUAAAACCUUUACUUGUUAGUCUUCUCAGUAGUGCUAUGCAAACUGAUAGCAAUAGAUACUAUUUCCUGAUGGAUCCUGUGGUUUUUGUGGUGUGUAAGCACAUAAUGCAUAUACACUAAUUAAAUCAAAUUGAUCUACUUCAUAGAAAGUAUUUUGAUUUUUUUUUUCCUGCUCUUCCCUCUGUCAAGCUCUCUCUGAGAACUUGUUAUAAAACUCAGCUCAUCUGUUUUUCUAGUUGUCUGUUAUCAGUAUUUUACCUUCAGUUGAUUCACAUGGCUGGCCAGCUUACCUAAUUUCCCAAUAAACAGUCUAUUGGUGAAAGAGUUUUUGGCAUGCAAACAGCAUACAUUGCAAAAGACACUCUAGGAGGAAGAGUGGUAUGCAUGUGUGUUACAGCACUGCUGCUUAGAUCAUGUGGUCACAUAGCUGUAUCUGAGGGAAAUUUUGCACCAAAAUAAACUUUGAAGUUGAGUAAAGCAAAGGGGAUUUUCCCAUCACAGAUCAAACAGAAUGUACUGUGCAGCAAAAUGAGGAAAUCCAGUCUCAUGAUUUUCAGCAUCACUGAUUUUGAAAGGGUUAACAACCUGCCAGUAACUGCAUCUUAUUAAUGUAAUGCAUGUUGGCAUUUCUUUUGCAAAUUCCUAUUAUGGAGUUUGAUGAAACAGCUUUUGUUUGUUCACACUUGUCUCUCUUAAAAUUUGUAUAUCAUUAGUAAAUCUUAUUUUUUUCUGCAACAGCUUGCACUUUCUUCUGUAUGCAGGCAGAAGUCAACUCAUUCUAUUAGUUUAGAUUAUCAUUUUAAGCUUGAUUUAAAAAGUGUGUAGACUUUUAAUGCUCCCAACAACUAAGAUUGUAACCAGUUUACAUGUUGAGAUCUGUUGAUUUGUCUGUCUGCAGAAGUUCAUCACUCCAGGAAUGGAGGCCCUUUGAUAGUAAAUAUAUUCACAGAAUGUGGUUUUUUAGUCUCUGUAUUAUUUUAGAUAUCUUAUUUAUAUUUAGAUAUCUUAUUAUACUGGAGUUCCCUAGAUGUUUAGCAACAUUUCAAAAGACCUCAGUCUGUCUGGGGAGAGAGGAACUUGCUGUAGCCCUUUUGUGUCCUGGUCUGCCAAAUCUAUAAAUAUGGAUGAGCGUGUAUCACUGACUGCGGGGGAUUUAAAAAAAAUAAAAUAAAAUUAAGAGGUGAUAUUUUAAGCAGUUUAUAUGUUAGGCUAUAAUGUAGGAAAGAAUGUGUGUUCAUACAGCGACCUUCCUCAAAUCAAUGCAUUAAGCCUGGUGUAUUUUGUUAAUAUUAUACUUGAAGUUGUCAAUGGUUUAUUUUUGAAAUAGUAAUAGCAUACAAGAAAAAAUUCUAAACCUGGAGAAAAAUCCAGUAAAUGAAACAGUGGUGGUACAGGGAAAUACUCCUCUCCUCUCCUCCUCUCUCCUCUCCUCUUUCUGUUAGCAUUUGUUUCCUGUUAAUCAAUUCAUGUUUAGGAGUGACUUGGUAUAUUUUUUUCCAGCCUAUGUUAUAAGGUUGGCAGAGAGAAAUCCUUGCAGGCAGUUUAUUAUGUAGUUAUUGUAGUUUAUAUUCUUGCAUUUAAGAUAUAUUUAAUCCCUGGUGAUUUUUCUUGUGUUUUUGUUUAGUUUCUUGAAAGGUUGUUGUUCUCCCAUGGAAUGUGGUUUUUUUCCUUCUAAACACAAGAUGUAAAUACAUAUGUAAGUAAUGCUGUGUGAACCUUUGAGUCAGCUGCUUCCACUUCUUGUGUGUUCUAUCCAAGACAAUUUCAGAAAAUUAUUAGUAAGCCUUAUAAGCUUAGAAAUAAAAUCUCCUUGACUGGUAUUUGAAAUGAAAAUGAAAAGUUUUAACAUAUGUAUUAAGUAUAUAUGUAAAAAAAAAAAAAAAAAAAAAAAAAUCCCAGAGUUAACAGACAAGUAGAAAUUUUACAGGAUUGUUAUAGACACAAUGACAUCUGUUUUUUAUUGCAGUUAAUGAGUCCUAAUAUGAUGUGCCAUUUUGUGUUAUGUAACUAUUUAUUAUUAAUCUCCAUCUCCUGUUACAAAUCAGUUCUCAAUGCUUUUUUUUUUUCCCCUCAUCAUUCUUGAGAUACUAUGUAGCUAUAUAUUUAUGCCUAUUGCAAUCAAAGUAACGAUAUUCUGCUGUAUUAAGAAUUUUUAAGUACUUGGAGAUAGAUUCUGUAUUCUUCGUGAAGUAACUCUUGUCCUAAUCAUUACCAGGAACUGAACCUGGAACUACCAGAGCUAGAGGAUAGCUUGACAAUUUGAGCUCAAAAAGGCUAAAUCUUCUGGCUAGCAGUUGCAGGAGAGUCAUGCUUUUUGUGGCUCUGGCAGAAGAUACUACUUGGAGAGGGAAUUAUGCUUGUGCAACUCCAAACUGCCAGAGAAAUCCAGGGGAAUUUGGGGGUUUGCAGGGAAUGUGAAACUGGUCUCUUCCAGGAGCUUCCCAGUAAGCAUGAAAGGGUUUUGUGUGUGUGUGUGUGUGUGUGCGUGUGCAUGUGUGUGAUGGAUAGUGAGAAAUUCUAACAUCUGACAUUGCUAAGUGCAUUCUGCAGUUUUCCAUUAGUGAUGGUGGAGUCCUUCAGUGAAUCCCUUCAGGAGUAACCAUUUGGCAUUUCCUAAACCCUUGUCUGUAUAUCAUGUAAAGCUCAGUGUUACCACUCUAAAGGAAGACUUUAAAAAGUUAAAUGCCAUUGGAAUUUAGUAAUGUAGGCCACACUGUAAACUGUGGUUAAGUUGAGCUGAGGCCUGCUUCAGAGAAGAACCUGUAUUUGAUUAAACCCUGCCUCUAGCUAGAUAAAAAUGAGUUUGAAGUAGAUUAAUAUAAAAACAGUUAAAAGCUUCCUCGUUGUUGUCAGUUUCCAAAAUGAAACUUGUCAAGAGUUUGGCAAAAAGAGUUCAAAGGCAGAUCUUAUUCUGAGCUGAGAAAAACAAAUCCAAAGGAGCAAACAGCAAUAUGGACCUUCUCACCUUUGGUUGACUUGAAUGAAUUUUCUCCAUGUACACUGUGGCUUUAUGGCCUUCAUUUCUACUUGCCAAGCCAUUUUUUUUUUUCUCCAGACUACAGCCCCUCAAGAGUUGUGUCUCAUAGCUUUGUCUAGCACAGAAAUAUCUUCUGUACUUCUUGGCCUAUCUUCUCAUGGCCUUCAUGAAUCUUCUCUGACAUGUACUGUGCGUAAUUAUUAUGAGAACAUAAACCAAGGGCAAAAUUCGAAAGAUAGUUUUGGACUCAGUGAGAAACCGUCUGAGAGAGAAUUGAAGUGGAGACAGCACAGUGUAACAGUGGGGUUUAUGUCAGAAUUUUUGCAGGAUUCUACUUCCAUCUGUAACUUUGGGUGGCACGUGACCACUGCGUACCACAUGCUUUGGCCUGUUGCAGACACUUGCACAUCUUGGUGACAAGAUUGUGCAACAUUUUUUGUUAUUGAUUUGGACAUAAAUUCUGUGGUCCCAGUGAUGAGUAAAAAAAUGGGGCUCAUAGACCAAGUCCUACAAAUGCUACCAAGUGAUUAGCAAAACCAGUGUCAUACUGCAAAGACUGGGCUUUGACACCCUUAAUGCUUUUUUCCCAUAUCCUUUUGUAUAUACAACUAGGUCACGUUAGUGACCACAGGCAUGAGUCUCCGUUCCAUUACACUGGUUUUAUGCCAGAGUAACCAUGCAGGUUUUCACAGUAUAAAAAGACUGAUGAAAUGUGGUGAAAAAUGGAUCCCAUACAUAUUCCAAUCUGUGAGUGACUUAAUAUUUGUUGCUAAAACAUUUUAAACCUUUAAAAAACAACAUUUCCACCAGUCACAUUAGGGAUUUAGAGUUUGCUGUCUCAUGGCUUGCCAGAGCUAGCAGCAAAUGCUGGGAAACAAGCACGUCUUUAAUCACGGAAAACCAUGGGAUAUUUAAUUCUCAAAUUUGACAGUCAUCUAGGAAGAACAGCUAGUGCUCUUGUAUAUUAACCUAAUUGUUGAAACAUAUAUUUUUCUCCCAAUCUCAAUUUUAAGGUAAAAUAAUCAUUUCUGUAGAUGUAGGGUAUUUGUUCCUUCUAGAUGGCAGCAGUUUGAAAUCAGUGGCAGACUUGAAAUGUUACAGAUGUUAUGAGAGAAAUUAAUGGAGAGUUUGAGAAAGGAAAUGAGGCAGAAGUUAGACGCAGGACAUUUCAUGGGUCUGUAGGUUGUUCCAUGACUACAGAACACUAAAGUUUGUUGUUGCUUUGACAACGUAUGUGGAGCAAAUAUGUAUUUUUUUCUAAGUACAUGUAUACAAACAUACAUAGUUCCUCUAAUUUGUUACUUACUAACUUACUGCUCUACUUGAACUGUAAAGGAAGACUUGUGGUUUCUUUAAAUUUCUUAGGAUAGCAGGCUUGUUACUGCUUCUGUUAAAAUUAGUUGCAAAGCUCUGGUUGACAGCAAUAGGAGAAAUCUCCUUAUUUUUGAUGGUCAUAAGUUAAAACCCCUGACAAGCGAGACAGACUGUAGUAUCAAAGGACAGCUUGCUUGCUGAGGAGGCAGGUGUAUGUAAAAGGAAUAUAAAGUCUGUUGUAGUCAAGAGUUUGUUGCACCACAGAUUUCCCGUAUAACUCAAAACUAGUUAAUAUGGUUCACUUUUCAAUCUGUAAACUGAGAACAACAGCAUGUCCUUAGAUUAAAAAGCAGUGAUAAACUCAGAUAAAGUGAUCUGUAGCACAUUUAGUGGCUGGGAGGGAUUUCUCAUAUGACUCAGGCAUAAGCUUAGUCUGAAACAGCUGGGUAAAUAGUCCUAGUGAUUAAUUUAUUAGUAGUUAAUUAGUUCAGUUAAUUAGUAACUAGCAAAGUAACAGCUGUUGCUCCUGCUUGUUGUGUAAGAGAAUUGUGACCUUUGGCCUUCUGUUGUGCUCCUAAUGGUGUAGUGUUAGGCAGCAAACUGAUGAUGCUGGAAGUCAGUAAUUGCCUAUUUUUUUUUAGAUAUAUGCUUAAACUGCUGUAUAUUAAUGAGGUACUACGUGUCAGCUGAAAUGUGAUAACUGAGGGUUCUUUCAGGCUGAGGCACAUGGAAGGCAAGGAAAGUUCAUUUCAUUUGUAACAAAAAUGAGCUAGUUAAGGAGAGAGGAUGCUGGUUUUGCUGGCUUGUGGCAAGAUAUUUUUCCUUGGUUAUUAGAUCUGAGCUCAUAUAAAGGUUUAGGCUCUGUCCCAGACUGAUCUGGGGGAGAAAAAAGGAAAUUUCCUGCCAACUAGAAGUUCUGAGAAGAUUUCAUUCUGGAAACAACAAACGUUGUAUUUCUGUGUUCCCUGGUUCCUGCAGCUUCUCAGUGAAAAUGGCAUUUGACAGCCCUUGUGAUUAUAUAACAGCUCUCAAGAGGAAGCUGCUAACAAGCCCAUCUGAUAUUUUGUGCCAGCUGUUUCAGUGGAGGCGUGUUGGACUAGACUGAACUCUGCCUUCUUUGAGAAGCAAAGCAUUUGGAAAGUGACAGAGCCUGAAGAAAAAGGGAAUUCAAAAUCUGGCUCUGAGUUUUCUCCUGGACCAGUCUGAUCUUCUGUAUCCACGGACAAGUGGGCUGCUGCAGGAGUAGUUUGGAAGCCCCACCACUAGCCAGUCUCUCUGCAUGAUGCAGCAACUCCUGCUAAGAUCCUACCUAUAACCAACACCUGUGUGAAGAGAUCAAGGAUCCUGAUUUGUUUCUAGUGGCACUUUAUAACAAAUUUUCUCUAUGAUGAACUGUUAAAAGAAGUGAGAUAUCCAGAAAAAAAGUGGAAAAAAAAAAAAAAAAAGAAGCAACUGACCAAUAAUCUGCAUAGAAACCAUCCAGCCUGGAUCUCAGCUGCAAACAGGCAUAUAGUAGAGGAGCAAGAACGUUAACUGACUGAGUAUAGAAGACAGUGAUUAUAAUCCUGAAGUCAGAGAAUCUGAAUCCAAAGGAAGAGAGGAAUUCCCCAGGGAAGGGUCAGUACGCACAGAGUCUUGCUCUGGAUUACUGGUCGCUGCUACUUCACUUGGGGUGCGCCUUCAGAAUUCUCAUUUUCUUCAGUUCAAAGUGAAACACUGGGAAAAGUAUUGGAAUGAAUCUGAAAACAGUACAGCAUUCUCAUGUGGAGGCGAAAGUACCAUUCAGACAGACACUAGAAGAAAAUCUGUCUUGAGUCUGUUUUUCAAAACGAGACUGAAAUAUUCACUGGAAAAAUACCAGGGAUCUUCGACUUAAGUGGAGAACUAAGGGGUGAAGAGGAUGAGUGGCCUUUAAAAUGUCGUCUUGUGGUCAUCAAAGUGUGUUCCUACACUCUGCAGAUAUAAAGGGACUUAAGUUCUGAAUGGAGCAUUAUAUCUGAGUGGCAAAUUACAGUACAGCUCUGUAUGGGAACUGUUGAGUCUUGGCCUGAACCUCUGACUGAUCAUCUGAGGCAAGCACUGAGUCAGCCACGGAAGCACAGGUGAAGGCAAUUCACCUGUGUGACUGGAAAGCGGAGCCUGGCUGCACCUCUCCUAGACCCCAUUUAAGGGCUGACUGCCACUAGGGAGGGUUCUCUUUCUAGAGAUUGCUCCUCUUGAAGCUUUUUCUGCAAGCCUAGGGCACAGAACAUUGUAUUCUGGACCAGUGUUCUAAACUUGUUGGGAUCACAGAAUCAUGGAAGUGUAGGAAUUAGAAGAGACUUCUGGAGGUCAUCUAUUCCAACCCCCUGCUAAACCAGGUUUCCUAGGCCACGUAACCUGCUAUAUAAAGAGAUCCGAAGAUAAAGCAGAACUACCAGUUCAUGCCUCCACAACCAGUACAUCAGAAAACGUAAAAAGAGCAAGAAACCAAACAACCAAGAUGGCGAGACAACAGAUAGCAAGAGAGGCCUGCAGAUAAAAAGAAAAAAAUAUUAAUUAAACUAAAUUCCAAAGCCACAAAAUGAUUGACUUUCACUGGCAUGGGCUUUGCAAUCCCCAAAACAAUACUUUAAAGUGUUUAAUUUUUUCACAUCAAUUUUAAUUAAGCUCUCAUUAGGCUGUUGUGCCCCUAGAAUUUGGCAGACAAAAGAAGCUGGCUUGUCCAACGAGUUUCCCAAGCUUGCACAGCUCUAUUCCUAAGGAGAUUUAUCGCAUUUUUUUCCUCCCCUUGAAAGAACCUUACAUGAACCAAUUCAAAUGAAAAACACAUGGACUAAAAAAGACUUCAUCAUGCCAGAUACCUUUUUAUAUCCAAAGCAGUGAACUUGUAGUCAGUUUGUCCUUUCAUGUGUUGUUUUUUCUGGCUUUGGGACCUAAGAAUGAUUUUUUACUACGUGCAGUAGUAAAACAACAUAUUAUGCAAUUCUAUUUUUCAAGGAGAACACUAUGUAAUUCAUAGGCUUUGCAACGCCACAUUUUCUGUUCAGAAAUACAUAAAGUGACUUAUUUUCCCCUUAUGGGCAGACAUCAAGAAAUUUAUAUUCAACAAAUGAUAUUCCAGCUUACCUAACUUGAUUUUUUUGGAGUUUUAACUAUUUCAAAAGUGAUUGCAUAAUGUAAAAACAAGCAGCUUACAAACUGCAUUUUCAUCUCUGCUGUUGAAGAACUUAGCAGGUGUGACAGGUGAAAACACAUCAUAACUUGACCUGAUCACAGCUCAAUGGAUCUGACAACAGAGAAAGACCUUUCCAUGAAGUCCACAUCAUGGAUUAGCAGAUUUGUUAAAAUAAUUUGUCAGAAAUAUACUCGCUGGUUUUGAAGAUGGUAACAUCUUCCAAAGAAAGCUUUCAUAACGCUUUUGGUUUCUUACAACCAGUCUACAAAAGAUGGGAUGGUACAAUUGCUAAGAACUUUCUAAAUAUUGAUGUCUUUAGCUUCAAAUAAACAACAGUAAUUCCAGAAGCUUAGCCCUCUAAUCCUCCUCUGGAUUUAUUUGUUGUCUUGUAUCUCUUAAAUAUACAAUAGUCAAUGAAUAUAUAGCGUCAUGUCUGCAGGCUCUCAUCUUGAUGGGUUAUUUUAACCACACAAAUAUCUGUUGGGGAAAACCAUAUGGGAGUCUGCAAGCAAUCCUGGAGACUCCUGGAGUGUGCUCAGUAUAACUUCCUGGUCAUGAUAUUAGACAAACUGGGAAGAGGAGAAGCAUUACUGCACCUGGUGCUCACCAGUGCAGAGGAGUUCAUUAAAGAAGUUAAGAAUAGAGGCAGUCUGGUCUGUAUUAACUGUGCCCUGGUAGAAUUUGUGAUUUUGAAGAUGAUGGGCCUGUUACAUUUGUCAGAAGAGACAGGCCAAAGAGAGUGCACCCCCUCUGAUAAGAAGGGAAAACUGGCCACAACAGACAUGGAGAAGGCUUAGAUAUUCAAUGAAUUCUUUGCCUCAGUCUUCUGGAGCAGCCCAAUCUUCUCAUAUCUCUCACAUCCCUGAAUCUCAUGUGCCUGACCUUUUGGUGGGGGCUGGGGGAGGAAAAUCCCUUCCUUCUAGAACAGGUUGAGAGAAUUAGGGCUGCACAGCUUGGAGAAGAGAACAUUCUGGGGAGACACGAAAGCAGCCUUUCAGUAUCUAAAGUGAGGCUGUAAGAAGGAAGUGGAUGUUCCAUUCCUGGAGCCAUGACCCCCUUCAAGGUCAGUCUGGAUCAAUCUCUGAGCCACAUAAUUGAGAUGUGGGUACUCCUGUUUAUUAUAUUAGCCAUUAAAGGUUCUUUCCAUCUCAAACAAUUCUAUUAUGAUGAUGACUCUACACAGUUCAUAUCAGUACUGUCAAAGCUGCAUAUCUUUUUGACAGUUCUGAAUGUUAAGGGACAUGUCUUUAAUAAUGUAGGUUAAUAGGAAGCCCAUGUUACUGCAGAACAUAUUUGGUAUCCUUAAUGCUGGAAAGGUUAUUUCUUUAUUCUUCAUGGUCUCAUGUGAACCUAGUGUUUAUGUAGUCCCAGAGCUACUCUUGGAAUAAAUACCUCUCGACUGAAACUGUUGGAUCUUAUAGCACUUUUUACCUUAAUGACAGACACAUUGCAAAGAUGCUAGCUGAGGCAGGGAUGUGUUCAGACACAAGUAGGAAGGAGUGCUAAGCGCACUUCAGUUUGUUGCAGAGAAGUGAAUCCCCAGUCUGUCUUUUUUCCUAUUAUUUCCUUACUUUAGGGAGUGAUCUUACAAUAAGUAGAUAAUAAAUAAAUAAAUAAAUAACAUAACAUAACAUAAGAGGAGAUAUGGCAUGAGAUGAAAAAGAUACAUAUCACUUUGCAUUUUUCUUCGUCCUUGUUAUUGGGAAGGACAAAUAUAAUAAUGUGGCUAGCAGGAAGAGGGUAUAUAAUGGGAUUGAGUAAUCUUCUGAGAGACAAAGGUGUAUUUCACUUGUUGUACUGUCCUCUAAUGAUGUACUUGUGUUCUUUCAGCUUUUAUCCCUAAUCCCUCCAAUUCAGAUGGAGCCUGUAACUUCUCUUGCAAGCAGACCUUCCUUUCUGAGGGAUCGCUCAUACCUGUUCUGCUCAAGGGCUAUUGCAGGUUCCCAGUUGGAGAUUUUUCAUGUUUCCUAUGAUAAUGCAGUCUCAUGGACACUGGUAAUACAAAUGCCAGUGGCAUUUAGUAAUGAGAAAAGCCAAGGUUAUUGUCCAAGUGAAGUGAAUGAUUUAAGAUAUGUCGCAUUAAGGUGUUAUUAGAUGCUUCAAAGUAUUCUAUGCCAUACAUACAUGAGGUAAGAAGCCUCCUGGCAUUAUAUCAGACUUCACUGAGCUGUGGCAUUUUAAAUCAUUUGAAAUGCAAAUAUUCUAUGUAUUAAGACUCACUCUUUUUACCACAAAUAUCAGUGAUUAUUUUGAUCAGAGAGGAAGCUAUUUGAGCUCUGCUGUCUUUCAGGGUUCAAAUAGGAAAGGUCAAGUAGCUUAGGAAAUAAAUACAAAGAUGAAGAGAAACCGAUAUAUCUUUACUUCCUUUCAUUGCUGCUACACUUCUUGCUAGCUCUAAGAACUGGGAAGUAUGUUUUCUCCCUUUAUAGGUUUAUAUUACAUCCCCUUCACUGUGAUACGUCUAUGAUUUUGGGAGGCAAGAUGGGAGGAUCUUUUGAAAUGAGUCAUUAAUUCAGUGACAUUUUUAUGUUUUUGUGUUAUAAAGAUCUCCAUACUCUUUCAGACUUUGGAAUAUUUGGGAAUUAAUCUGAGUAACAAUUCAGAGUGACUUCUGCUCUACAUAUUCUGUAUGCUGUUUGUUUUGAACACUGAUAAUGUGUAAGGUAUCUAGUAUCUUGCCCAGACACGUUAUAAUUCCUUUUCCCUGACUAAUUGAGCAUGAUUUCUUUGAUCAGUCUGCUGCUCUGGAGUCUUUGUGUGAAUUUCAACUUCACUUUCUGGAAAUAUUUUGCAAUAUUUAAUUAAAAUUUACAGUGGAUAUCCCUUUUUGCAAGCCAGAUUGCAAGAAUACUUUCUGGGUGAGACUACGUGGAAACAGUACGAAUAAUUUAAUUUGACAAGUCAGGAAGAUUUUUGUGGAAAAUUGGAAGUUUUUGCCUACUUCUGCUUCACCACGGUGUAUGUACAGUGUUGCUGUUAGGUGCUCAAUAGCUUAAUUUACUUUCUAAGUGUAUUUCUAAGGUUUUUCUUUUUUUUUUUUUUGCCAUUUUCUGGAUCUUAAACAAAGAAAAUGUUCUAAUUUAAUUGUAAAGAAGUUGAAAUAGUUAGACAGUACCUCUUUGUCACCUUUUCUUUGAGACAGAGUGGAAAAAUAAUGGGGAUGGGAAAAGUGCAUUAGAAAUAUUACAUGACUGGGACAGUUGAAGAUUUGCAUUGCAAAUGCUACUUCACAUUUGCCGGGGAAUUCACUGAAGACUGUUCUAAGACAACUGCCUAUAUAAUGGCUAUCAUGUGCAACACCAAGGAAAGGAAUGGGACUGACAGAAUUGAGAAACGUUAAUUGUCGACACGUGGGUUGCUUCUCAGCAGACUUUAUCUGUCAGUAUAACCCUGAGGGCUGGAAUAGGCAUGAAGUCAGUCUCCCAUCAUCAGGGAAAACAUGCUAUUCUGUCCUUGAUACAGCUUGAAGACUUCAUUUGAAGCUGAUCUUAUGUCUCUAGGAAUCUAGAAGAAAUGGAGACAAGAUCAAGAAAUGUCUUUGCCUAGACCACCAGUUUCACCAAAGGGGAGAAAUUCACUCUGCAUCUCUUAGGGUGACUGGGCUGAGUAGGUUGCCUCAGUGAUGCCCUCAGUCUGAAAUGUGCAGACUGUUUUCACAGCUGAUGUCCAAUGACCACACUAAGAACAUGGCUGGAGUAAUUCCAGACUGGGAAAUUUCAGGGGCUUCCAUAUAAAGAGGGUAGUAAACCUUUUCCCCCAGCAGACAGAGAAAAAUGUACAGAUAAGACACAUAGUUUUCAUUUGCCCAAUAUACCUUAUGCAAGCUGAGUUCAUUCUGAGUUAGAUGACCACUUCAGGUGGCUAGAGGGAAUAAUUUCAUUGUGCAAAUUCCCUGUUAAGGCUUUCCAGUUAUAUUUUGUGUGUGAAAUGAAAGUACAUCUGUGUUUAAUUUUACCAGUUUGCCAUACAUCAUAACCUCAGAAGAACUCCUCAACAUCAUGCAAAUUAAAAGCAAGAAUUCUGAUGAUUUGCAUACAUGUUUUUCUGGGUUAGACAUUACAUUGGAAUGCAUUGGCAGUGAGUGGCUGUGACUAAUGUAACAGGGCCUUACAUUUAACAUACUGCAUUAUACAGUUUUAUGCACAGUAAUGUAAUAAUUAGUUUGUCAAGAUAUCAUGUUCAUUUCAGAUUUAAAUAUGUUGCUCUCUGCUGGUCAGUUUUGUGAACUACACAUUUAUUUAAUAUGAAAACUGCCCAUCCAAGUUGUCACAGAGGUGAGACUUCAGGUCCCAUUGUACAAACGGAAUCCAGGCAGAGGUCUUUUUUGUGAGAAUAAGAUGUACAUGCAACAACAAAUCACACUGAUCUCAUUCUCUCUUUUCCCUGGCAGAAGUUAGUCACAAAGAUUCUUAGUUCUUGUUCUAUAAAAUUCUGCUUGGCUUACCAUUACUCCAUCCUGUAUUUGGAGUUUUUUGGAACUUUUGCUCCAGUUUCUCUAGCAAAGCCUGACUGAGAUUUAGUGCAAGUGAAAUGCCAAGGUGUUCAGCAUUUUCACAGGUGCAGUCCUCUAUACUGCAUGUAUUAUAAAGUUUAGGAAAUUGUCAGUAUUUUUAGUAUAAAAGUUUUGGUUCAUACCUGGCAUUUAAGUCCUCUUCAGACAUCAGUUGGCCAAGUUCUUGGGAUCUUGUUUUACCUUAAAACAGAUGAAAAGAAGCCUAGAGGCAAUACAAUUGGACCAUGCAAAAAAAUUUUGUAGUACAGUACAAAGAGUGGUUGUUUUUGAUUCUUUUUCUCUGUGCUUCUACUGCAGCCACUACACAAGAGGCAACAACUUGUACACAGAUGCACAAGUUCUGAUGGAUAUUACUUUUAAGCUAUUUUCAUCUACUAAGUUAGGCUGCAUAUUGUAACUGACUGUAGUACAUGUAGCGUUCUCUUGUUGAUUAUAUGAAAUACAGUGACAGUUAUCACAGAAAGUUUUUAGUUAAUCAGAGGUGAAGUUUUCAAUGUAAUUAUUGGGUAAUAUAAAUAUUCAAUUAUGAUUUUUUUUAAUCUUGAAUUUGCAGUGAAUUCUAGUAUCUACUUUAAUUCUGUACUUUAAAUACUGUUAAAACUGUAUGAAUUAUAAUCUAAAUCUUUCCUCUCUUUAUGUUCCCAAGUACUGAAAACAUUAAGAUCUAGAUCCUUCGUAUCUGAUUCUAUUGAGGUCGCUAGCAAAAGCUCCUUGCUGAGUUUGCUUCAUCAUAGAUGUUUGUUGUGUGGACUUGCAGAAGUCUUCAAAUACCUCUUGGUCUAUUUUUCCUUCCCAACAGACAGUUCCUUCAAGCCUUCUGAGUUUAAUUUUAAUUAUAUGCUUUGGUUGCUGCCAUAAAACGAGUUAGUCUUGGCCCUGAUGUCAUAGAUUGUCAGGAAACAUUUUAUAUGAAGAAUUGACAUACAAGCAGUAUAUGAUAUCACUUGGGAAAAAGUUGUUCUGCAGUUCUUACUCAGGCAUUAUUUCCAUUUAUUAUGAAAUCAUUGCCAAAGUUUUCCAAUACUGAAAAAUCAGGGCUCAGGAAGAAAAUAUAUCAUGAGUGAUCAACAGUGUCUACUUACAGCAGACAAAGAGUUUAUUUGGGGCUGUAAAAUAGGGGCACUUUGGAAAAAAUUCAAUACAUUCAUUGUGUGAGAAUUCUCAAAUCAGGACAGAGUGUAUGCCAUGCAGCUUUCCUUUAGCACCACUGAACUGCAACUCAAUGAGAAUUUUGGAAGAGAUUUUUCUAAGAACCCAGGUAAAAUGUUUUUAAUAUUUUGAUAGAUUAUUUUUUAAGGUAGUCUGAGCCAUUUUUUUCUUAAAGUAAAGGAAAUUUAAAUGGAUGAGUUCAAAAAGUGAUAGCCAGAUUUUUAUGCCCUGUAUUGAAACCUUACAAUGGAGAGGUAAACUUUGUCCUUAUCCAGACUUAUCCAGAAAAGUUUGCUUCAGAAAUAAGCUAUACUUCCUGAAGCCUUUCUUGAUGUAGCUAAUUAGUAAUAAUACACAGAUAAAAUCUAUGAAAGAGGCACUGCAUAAUUACCAUCGUACCCUCUAAUAUAAGUAUGCUGAACUGGAUUAUAGCAGCACAAAACCAUUUUCUUUUUUAAAAUUAUAACUACAUUACUAUGAGAAAACUGGUUAAAAGGAAGUUCAAAAGGAGCAGCUAAAAGGACAGUUUUUAGUAGCUUACAUGGAUAAUGUUUAAAACCACCACAUCAGAGGAACGCUGUUAAUUAAACAGAACCAUUCAAUGAAAGCCCAACUACAAAAAGGAAAGGAUCCAGCUUCGUAAAGUAGAAUGAAAGAUUAAAGUAGCUGUAAAAUAUAUGUCCUCCCAAAAAGGUGGAAACCAUAUCCCAGUGGGAAAAUUUGAAGAGUGUGAGGGCUGCUUCAAAAGAAAUGCCUUCUACUUAAUUAUGUUGGCUCACAUCAUCAGAGGUGGAUGUUGGUGGUAUGGCAGUAGAGGGUGAACUGUCCCACCAAUUUUUCAUUACAUUUUGUUGUAGUGUGACAGAUGGCAGCAGAAGCUGUCUGAUAAAAAUGACGUCUGACAUGGAAGUGUGUGUGAAGCAAAAGUGUGUCACUGAAUUCCUCCAUGUGGAAAGUAUUGCACCCAUUGAAAUUCACUGAGGCAUAAUGAGCAUUUAUGGAGACCAAACAGUGGAUGUGAGCACAUUGAGGUGGUGGGUGGUAUGUUUCAGCAGUGGUGAAAACAUUGUGAAAGACAUAUUCUGGAUGGCCAUGCACAACUAUAAUGCCAUGAAACGAAGAGUGUCUCCAUCAGUUUAUCCACACAAAUCGGUGGAUUACAAAAAUUGUUUUUGGAAGUGAAUAUCAACUUCAGUGCACUGGAAACAGUGCUGACGUUGGAAUAUUGCAAAGUUUGCUUCAGGUGCAUCCAAUGAAUGCUCACACAGGAACAGAAAGAACACCAUAUACAGGUUUGUCAGGACUUAUUGAACCUAUAUGAGGCUGAAGGUGACAAUUUCUUUAAUCACAUCAUUGCUGGUGAAGAGACAUGGUGUCACCACUAUGAGCCAGAGUCAAAACAGCAGAGCUGACGUACAAAUUCUCCAUUGAAGUAGUAGUUCAAGAUGCAGCACUCAGCAGGUAAAAUGAUGUGUCUUUUAGGAUGGGAAAGGGGUGAUCCUUCUGGAUUUCCCGGGACCUGGACAAACCAUCAGCUGAUCAGUGAUCACUACAUUGCGACACUAAGCUGAAGGCUUGAAGUUACAGAGCCAGACCAGAGAAGAUGACAACCUUUCUCUUGCAACACAAUAACUCCAGGCCCCAUACCAGUUUGAAGAUUGUGGAGCACACUGACAAUCUUGGCUGGACUGAUCUAUUGCACCCACACUUAUAAUCUGGAUCUGGCACCUUCUAACUUCCAUCUGUUCAGGCCAAUGAAAGACACACUACACAGACAAUAUUCUCCUAGCAGUAAUGCCAUCAUAGCAGAUGUGAAACAGUAGGUCACCUCUGCUGGUGCAGAUUUUUAUGAGUGCUAGUGAAAAUGCAUGGCUAAUGGUGGUGACUGCAGAAAAAAUAGUGUUCUGUAGCUGAGAAUUUGCUCUAUCAGAUAGUUUAAUUGUGCUCUUUGCAUAUGUUGUAGUUUCCAUGGAAAUAAAUAGGAGGUGUUAAUUUCUGAGGGACCUAUGUACAAAAACUUUACCAAAUAAAGAGUAAAGCAACAAUAAAAGUGUCCAAAAAAGACUGAGGUGUGAUUGUUAAAAAUCACAGAGUUAAUGCAAAGUUGUGAAGAGCAGGGAAUCUGACAGAAUUUCUCCAGUUUAUGAAUGAGUACAAAAGAAACUCUUCAAUAAAAUGAACCUAUAUGGAAGUUACUGAAAUUUUCCAUUGUCUAUUAUGAUAGAGAAUCUGCUUUGGACAAAAGCUAAGAGCAGAGGAGAAAUCAAUAUGUCACUUUAAAUGUAUACAUAUCUUGAAUACCAUGUGUAGAUCUGGUCUUUCCGUAUAGUAGAAUUAGAACUAAAUUAAAUGAAGUCAACCUAGAAAAGAUACAGAGAAAAGCAAGAGUAACCAGAUGUUUGGAAUAAUUUUUACACAAAGAGAGAAAGAACAAACAAAAUAAAUUUUCAAUGUAGAAAAGAAAUAUCUAUAAAAUUAUGAACAAUGAAGUAAUAAGUAGAAAAACUGCUGAGCAUUUCCCUUUGCACAGGAAUAUAGGGUUGCACAAGUUUCAAAGCUGUGAAAGUAAAUAGCUUUAUAAAUACAUUCUACCUACUUAAAUAUUUAUAUUAUGCAACUUACUGAUACAUAAUAUCAUAGAGGUCUAUGUAAGUUCAGAAAGAAGUCCGUGUAAGUUCAGAAAGAAGUCCAUUUAAGUUCAGAACCAAGCAAACAAUAUUAACAAAUAAAUAUUCACAGAGCAUACGCUAAUUAAACAUGGCAUCUAUAUCAAAUCAUCAGUUCAGGAAGUUCAUAAACUUAAAGGAGUAUGUAAAGCAGGGGAAAUACAAUUAUGCUAGUAACUGUAUUGGUCUUUUAAUUUUCCUUUAUCAAGUCAUCCAUUUCUUUAUCACUAACAGCAGCAAGUCUAUUAGUGAUCAACAUCUGUUCUCCUGUGUGUUUGUUGCUAAAAAUACACAUCAGUAAAAAUUUUGAUGGAUAUACAGAAUUUCUGGAUAUUGUCAAAGUUGGAAUGUUUGAUUGGGUCUAAUACUGACGUCAUAUUUUUUCCUUCAUCCCCCAGCCUUCCUCGACAUUUUGCCACAAAAAUAAACACCUCAUUCAGUCAACUAUGCUUCAUGAAACUACCAGGAUUUGACUUGUUCUUUGCUCUUUUUUUUUUGUCUAUACUUCUUGUUUUAAGUGGGAUUUUUGCCUUAAAUUUCUGUUUCCUGCCUGAGUCAAUCUACUUUCCCAUCCAGAAAUCUUCUUUUAGUGUCUAGCUGAGGUAGCUUCUAACAGACUCUUUUGGAGGACACACAGAGCCAUAAUCUAUAUGUUGUGGCCAAUAUUAAAUCUAAUACAACCUCAGCUCAAGCCUUGCACCCUCUUCUCUUUCCCAGUGUUCAUCUAUAAGCAGCUGGAAUCCAGUUCCACAUCUGAAAAAAAUCGUCCUUGUCCCCGCUAAAUAAUAAAUAUCAAAUUUUCAUUGUCUGGGAACUCACUGCCUAACUUUUCACUUCACCAAGGCUUCUGUAUUCCUGGAGCAGGAGAGAGCCCUCCACCUGGCAGAGCAUUUGCCAGGGUCGUGAACAUGAACUCAUUGCUUCAGACAACAUCUCUCAGAACUAUUUUAAAGAUGUUUGCGGUGUCUAAAAACUGAUUUUUACUUUUUUGUUUUGUUUUGUUUUGUUUUGUUUCAUGUAUGAGAAUGUGCAUGUUUCCCAUAGGCUUAAUCCUUUUCUCCCUCUGCUUGCUUCCUUCUGUCCUUGGAUUAAUUUUGUACACUGCAUCUGAUAUGCUGCUUGACAGUCACCAUUGCAUUUCCUGGCCCAGCAUCAUAUCUUCAGGCACUUAUGACAUUGGGCCAUUUUCUGCUGACAACCUGAUGUAAAAUGAGCUCCUUCACAUGGAAACAGCCCUCAGGAGAGCAAGUUCCUUCCAACUGGCUUAAUAUUUUGUUUACUGAAGCAGUAUGAUUGUCUCUGUGUUAUACUCACAUAUCUUGUAAUUUUUCAAUGCUGCCUCUAUUAUUUUGGGUGAUUUCAAAGUUUUGGGCCAGGUUAAGUUCUCCUCUGCCAGCAGUCAGCCUUUGAAUUCUCUCCUUAUUAAUACCAUAAACCAAUUUAUAUUAUAGCAUGCCCUCUAGGACAUUUCUAAAUGAUCAACAUUCAGUCAGCCUUCGUUCUACGACACAGAGUUGCAGUUUCUUUUUGCCUCUCAUUUUAUUACGAAAUUUAACACAUCCUACAGAAACACUUAGCUAUCCUGAGUGAACUUGUAAGAUCUUUUGCAAGUCCUCUAAAUUAUUACUGCAGAAAACAAAGCUGGGAUAAAGCUUGUCCUGGGGCAUCCUUCUGCUGGGAGACAAGAGCAGUUUUACCUGAUUGAGCUGUUGUUUUUCUGAGACUGUAACAAACCGUGUAGGAGGAAGUUUUACUGGUAUUGAUUAAAAGCUUUUCUUUAUCUGUAAAUCUGGUGUGCAAGAAUAGGGCAACCACAGCUUGCAUAAUUUGCUGCCAGCCUUUAUUUGCUUCACUGUUUGUGUUCAGUCUUCCUAAAAAAAAAAAAAGACUAUUCUUACAAUUCUUACUUCCACUACCCAGACCAGUUUUGAAGUGGGAUCAAUAAGUUAUAGUCCAAAACUGUAGGUUAGAUGUCAUACAAACCUUGGCUGCUCAAUUUGCUUACGUAUAGGAACAAGUUUGCUCCUCUGAAUCCUGACUGGUUAAUGGUGAUUACUGCAGAAUCCCAGUUCUGGUGCCUUUCAGAUACAGCUCUGAGCAUGGCAUCUCAAUGUGUCCCUCUCUUGGCAACUCUCCUCUUCGGAAAGGCAAAGAUCGCUUUAGUCACAAAGGACAUAGAUAUGACUGGGACAGAAGCUUGGAUGACCUGAUUGUCAUUGCCCAAGUUGGGUGCCUUUAACAGUUGCAAACAACAACAACUUUAAUGCUUUUAGAAUUUCUGCUCUCUACACUAUUGUGAGCAGACUGUACAUUUGGCUGGAUAAUUUUUGUAUCUUCUUUGGCCUUGGCUUUUUCAGCUUCCCUCUUAAUGAGUCAGAGAGGCUUUACCAAGGUUUUUGUAUCUGGUAUCACAGAUGUAACAGAACUCUGGGGAGAUGACAUAUUUUGGAGCUGAUUUAGACUUGGCUUCUCAGGGAAACGUUUACUGUUAUGAUUUUACUUUGUAACUUAAUACCAUUUUCAUAUUCAGCUCUGAACUCCACCAAUAUUAAUGAGCAAAGCUUUUCAACCUCCUCAAGAGAUGCAGCGUUAGCAACAUUUUAUGUACAGCAGUUAAAGGAUAAAGCAGUGAAAAUAAUUUGCUCACAGAGUUCAUUCUAACCUGGACUCCCCGUUGACCACCAGACAAUGCACAUCUCUGUACUCUGUAGGUACCUUGCAGCUGUCUGAAAAACCUUGUCUCCUAGAAACAAUGAUGCUAUCAAACUGCAUGAGGGAAGGUGGCAGAUGUACUACAAAAUCAGACCUGGGCAGAUGAGGCUUUGCCUUCUUAAUGGCACUGAUGAACUCCAAUCUUGUACUGUUCUUCUUCUCACUGUUGCACGUGGAUUAUGCAUGCUGAAUUAAAUGCUAAUUAAACGAAAUGUCAAGAUCCUGCAUUAGAAUUACUCACCUUGCAUGACUCAUAGUAGAUCUCAUUUUGAAAAUUUAUUAUUAUGAAAAAAAAGAGUUCCUACAGGAGUGAAACUAGGAUCAGCUGCAUACAACAUCUUCAUCAAUGACUGUAGAAGGGAAUACCCAAGAAAACCAUCAAGCUUGCAGCUUAUGUUAAGCUUUUUGAGAUCAUCAAAUGCCCCACUUGUAGUGAAGAACCUCACUAAACUGACUGAGUGGGCAGGCUGGAGGUAGGGAUGGAACAGCAGUGUUGAAAACAUUAGGUUGGACAUCAAAGGAACAGUAGUUGAAAACAUGCUUACUCAAUGCUGAGUUUCAAACAGUCAGCUACUGUUCCAGAGGGAAUUGGAGUCAACACUGACAAUCCUCCAUAACCACUAGUUCAGUAUAUAGCAGACACAUGAAAUAAAACAACAAAAUGUUAGGCAUCACCAGGAAGGAGAACUGAGAAUGAGGCAGUGUCAUUUUUGUUGAUGCAUUACCUGUGAGUACUGUGUUCAGUUUUGGACUCUGCAUGUCAUAAAGGGCUUGGCUGAGUUAGAGAGGUUACAAACAAAAGCAAAUAAAACGAGUAGAAGGAUGGAACAGCUGCCAUAUGGAGGAGAGGAGAAAGCUGAGGUCAGAAAUACUAUGUAGACAAAAUUCUGAUGGGGUUUCUGUCCAAGGACUCUGUGAAUUUGCCUGUAGACAAUGCUCCAUGCAAGAUUUCAAAUGAUUGCAUUAAGCUUGCCCUAAGGUUGAUUCCUUUAUUCCCAAAUUUUGUUGUUGUUGUUGUUGUUUUCCUUCUUUUUCUUUCUUUUUUUUUCUUUUUGUUUUGUUUAGUUUAUGUUGCUGUUUUUUUGUUUGUUUGUUUGUUUGUUUGUUUUUUCCUUCCUUGAUUUGCCUGAGAUAGAAAAGGCUUAUGGGAUUUCAGGCAGACUUCAUUCCAUCAAGGUAGCUAGGUAGAAUGAAGGUAGAUUGGGAAAGUAGAAUAAGAAUACAUCAGAAGAGCAGUGCAGGUAUGUUAGAGCACUGCUGAACAGAGCUGCCAAGAGGCAUGUGCUCUGAAAUCCUCCAAAAGUCAUUAUGUAGUACUGUGAUAGCAGAUGUUGUGCCAGGUGGAUUGUGAGUCUGAACAUCUAAGGCAUUUAUCUUACUCUUUCUCAGCAAAAUUAAAGCAAAGUUUAACUCGCUUCCAAUAAUUACUUUGAUCAACAUUAUGUAUGGAGAAGUAAGGUUGAAAGAAAACUUCAAUGAGGAAUUUGAAGUCUCUUCAGUGAGAUGGUCAGUCUUACUCAAGGAUCCUCAUACAUCAUGAUGGAGUAAGGACAGAAGAUACUUAUUUAUUUUGACUUUCUAUUAUAGGUGAUUCGUUCAUUUCUGAUAUGUUACUCAAGCUUGCCUGAACACUAUGAGUCUGUGGUUCUCAAUGGAAGGUGGCAAAAGUGAAAGUAUAGAUAGCAUUGUAGGCUGUUGAUUUGGGAAUAAUCAAACAGGCAACUAGCAGAAGUCCUGUAGUGCCCUAUGUUCAGAAGUUGUGAAGAAACUAUGAGUAACAGAGUGCAUUAUGGAGGCACUGUGGAUAACUGCAAGAAAAUAUAACAAACAACAAGAAAGAAAAUCUCCUCCCCUCUGCUCAGGUUUCUCUUUGUUUAAGUGUAGGGAUGGAGUAUUGGAUCUUGUACAAUGGUGUUCAAGUCAUUGAUGAUCUGUUGACCUGGGAGAUGGGAGGAUGAACUGUCUUGGCCCUAUGUCAUCUGCUGAGCAGUUCUAAUCAUAGAAUCAUGGACUUGUUUGAGUUGAAAGGGACCUUUAAAAGUCAUCUAGUCCAACUCCCAGUGCAAUGAACAGGGACACCUACAUCUAGAUCAGGUUGCUCAGAAACCCACUCAGCCUGACCUUGAAUAUCUUCAUGGGUGGGGCAUCCAUCACGUCUCUGGGCAACCUGUUCCAAUGCCUCACCACCCUCACUGUAAAAAACCUCUUCCAUAUAUCCAAUCAAAAUCUCUCCUUUUAGUUUGAAACCACUUCUCCUUAUCCUAUCACAACAGACCUUGGAGUUUUCUCUUUUCCAGGCUUAACAGCAUCAGCUUUCUCAGCCUGUCCUUGUAGGAGAGGUGUUCCAUCCCUUGGAUCAUUUUUGCGGCCCUUUUCUGGAUGCACUCCAACAGGUCCAUGUCUCUUCUGUACUGAGGAGUCCACAUCUGGAUGCAGCACUCCAAGCGUCCUAUCUCUCAGGCAUGUUGACCACACCACACAGCUUGGUGUCAUAUGCAAACUUGCUGAGGAUGCACUUGAUCCCACUGUUGAUGUCACUGAUGAAGAUAUUCAAGAGCAUUUGUCCUAGUACUGACCCUUGAGGGACACCACUCAUCUCUAAUUUCCAUCUGGACAUUAAACAAUAGACCACUACUCUCUGGGUAUGAUCUUGCAACCAGUUCCUCAUAUCCAUAUCUUUCCAAUUUAGAAAGAAGGAUGUUGUGGAGACUGUGUCAAAGGCCUUACUGAAGUUGAGAUAGCUGAUAUCAGUGGCUCUGUCCAUUAAUGCAGUAACUCCAUCACAGAAAGCCACUAGGUUGGUCAGACAGGACUUACCCAUGGUGAAGCCUCACUGGUUGUCUCGUAUCACCUCCCUAUCUUCCAUGUGCUUAAAAUCAUCACUGUUGCCCUACCUAGACUUUCUUCCUGCUGUAUUGCAGCAGACUUGACAGAAGCCCUAUCCACACAAAGACUUGAUGUGAUCUUUCCUCAUAUAUCCUACUUUUUGUACACUCUGCAAUUUAAUCAUUAUGCUUUAUUGCUAUGAGAGAAUGGACACGUGCUGCAUAUACUGGGAUGAUUCACCUUCUCUUACAAAUGUUAUUGCAAAAAGGAUUCAAUUUCAUAAUUCUUCUGAAGAUACAAACAGUAUGGAGAACGCCAGAUAAAAAAAUGAAAGGUGCCACAUGAGCAGAAAAUGAUGUUUACCUUUUUUACAGACAGGCAGCACUGAAACGAUCAUCAGGCAUGUACAGUGAACAGUCACUGUUGUUCAUAUUUAUGAUAGUGAAUUAAUAGUGAAUUGCUUUGGUUCUCAGGUUCUGAUCAACUUUUCAUUGAGUAUAAGUUGAAAUGAACUGGAAGAUGUUGUCAAUAGUUUGUAUGGUCUCUAGCAUAUUUUUUUUUUCCCUUGUAAAUGUGCUCUCUUUUUCUAUGGCCCCUGUAUGACAACAAGAGUACAAUUUGCUUAGAUUUUUCCUUGAAUGGCUGAUAGCAAUCAGACCCUUUGAACAAUCUAUGUAGGUCAUUGUAAAGCUAAUUAAUCCUGCUUUUCAGGCUGAAAACUAUUUUCAAGGAAAUAUGUUCUAAAGCAGCUGUCCCAGGGAUUUUAAAUAGGUUAUAAUAAUAGUGCAUGUUUAGUGCAUUACCACUAUUUCUAGAAAAUAAAAUUGAUUGAGAUUCAUGACUGAAACAGCAAAGCUGAGAGUGACGUAAUUCAAGAUAACAAUUUCUAAGCAAGGAAAGGGAAAUUAAAAAGCUAAUCACUCUUAUGUUUCUGAAUGAGCAAUGUUAAAGAAAACCAGCAAUACAUGACAAGAUGUCUGAGGUGGUAUUUUCUUUGAGAAGGGUAGCAUCUGAGCCUCAAGGAGGAGUUAUUAUUUCAGUGAAAUAGAUUUGCCAGGUUCAACACAAGAAUAUCCUAAUCUGUCAAAUGCUUUUCUUGUUACAUUGUUAUCCAACUUAAAUAAAUUUAAGGGCUCUGUGGAUUCAGAAAAAUAUAGGCUUUGUGCCAUGCUUUUGGUUUUAACACUGAUAAUGUAUAACCACUUUAUUUAAUUUUUCAGAAAAGAGUAUUUUUUUCCUCAGAGCAUUGAAGCAUGGCACUGAAGCAUGGAGGCAAGAAGGAAACAAAUCUGUGAGCUUCCACAUAUUGUUCCUAGGGAAUUUGCUCCUUCUGAGUUUGCCCAGUGUUGACUGUUAAUGUCUGUUGGCAUCAUCACCUGAACCCAGGCAUCAUUAAAUUUUCACUCAUUAAAGAAUCUGCAAUGGUUUCUUUGUGCUGUAUUUUUCAAACUGUGCUCCAUGCAUCACUAGUUGUGUUUAAUAUGAAUACUAGUCUGUGAAAUUAGAAAGAAACCACACAUACUCCCCAAAGUACCAAGCAAAAGUUCCUUUCAUUUUGUAAUAUAUGUACAUUUAAACUUUGGACUAAUUUUUAGUUGCUUGUAAAUGAAGACAAUGGUGGGAACGCUUCAGUGUUAGUCUGUAGAUUUUUAUUUUUUUUUCUGAAAACACUGUCAUGGUCAUUCAAUUAAAUGAAGUUAGGAAAAACUGGCCUACAGAGUGGAUCUUUAAAAUGAGGUUAUCAUUAUAACACCUGGAGCUGAGAGAUGUAUAUUUUUAAGAAGUAGAUCAGACUGUCUAAGGUGUUAGCCCUAUAGAUGCAAAAUGAGACUAGAGAAGAGAUGUUUCCGUAGAAAAUGAAAAAUAUCUUUCCCACUGUCUAACAGUGACUACAUUGGCUUCCAUAAAAACCUUGAGAUGACAUUCCAAAUUUAUAGGUGAGCAGAAAGCCACUUAUGAAUGCAGCCCCCCUAUUUUGCCUGUACUACUUCUCCUGCAAUGUUAUUCUGAACCUAUCCAUUCCUUCUGUCUCUGCAAUAUUGCCAGGAGAGGAAGGGUGGAAAGUUUCAGGGCUCUUUCAAACGUCUGAUGUCACAGUACAAAUUGAGGUUUGAUCAUAUUUCCCUUGAACUUUAAAUUUGACAAUUUGAAGCAUUAAAAGUUUGGUGUGACAGAAUAGUUAUAGAAAGUAAACUAAAAUGCUUCUCAAAGUGUUUCGUGUCUGAACAGAUGCCUGAGCCUCGAAUGAAGAAAGCACACUGUGAGCUGUUCUAUUCAGUGAUGUUGGACAAUGCCUCUUGCUCCUCACACUUUGAAUCUGAGCUCCCUUUCUCCUUUUCCUGAAGACUUCCAUGCUGUAGCUCUUUUCCAGGAGCUGUGAGUGCCUGUCCCCUUCCACACUCAGCUCUGAUGACAGCAAGGUGUCCAGGGUGACAAUCAUGAAUUUAUGUUCCUUUACAUUCAUAGCUCUCCCCAGCCUAAAUAUCUGUAUGUCUGUCUGAAGGCCCUGAAUAGCAAUACAGUGAAGCCCAAGACAAGCAACAUCACCAUAUUAUUUUGUAUUUUCAAAAGAAGAUUGAUCUAAUAUUCUGGACCCAGCACCUUAGUUCAGAAAGUUCUUUGGACCAUAUUCUGUCACCUGUGUGGCCUUUCACCCAUUCCGUGGCUGCCCACAACUACAGUGAACUGCACAAAUACCCCCAGGUUUGAGGUACACAUUUUCAGUCCUACAUUCUUAAAAACCUCAAAUUUGUAAAUCCAGGUUUCAUGGUGUCACCUAACUCAUGCUUAUAGUUAGAAGUCUAAGCCCAUGAGACUGGGCUUAGAGAAUUUUAGAUAUGACUGUAGAACAUUUUGCCUUUUCUAGACAAGCUGAUUUUAGGCAUUGUCAUUUCACCCCUCUCAUUUGCUUACAGUCCCUGCUGUUUUAGAGCCCCUGAUGUGAAGUGGGGCAAACCUCAUCAAAAUCAUGCCUCAGCUUCUUCAGUGACCUGGAUCCAGGUCACUUAGGUGGUCUGAACCAUUUAUCCACAAUUUAUAAAAGGCUCUAGAAAGCAUUUCAGCAUCGUUAAUUUGCACAGAUGGUUGAACUGGAGGGAGUAUGCAGAAGGAAAAGAUAGAUCCUGAAAGUAUUCUGAAAGCAGUUUUUCACCCAAACAGAAAUAAAGUUGUGAAGCAGCCAAAUAGGAAAGAUUGCUGAGGCAGCAGAAUAGGUGCCAGGGUUGACAGUAAAAAAUGAGUGCCAUUGUGAUGGAAACAUACUAUUAAGAAAAACAAUGAAAAUUUUUUAAAGAAAUAAGUAAAAAAAACCACAAAUUUUCAACUCCCAUCUCUACUUUCUAAUAUGUUCCUCACUCAGCAAGACCUUGGAUUCAGCUUCUAGUGCACUGCUUUUCAAACAGAUGCUAGUGAUGAGCACAUCUUGCUCUCUAUAAGCAGGACAAAAGGAACAUAAAUCACUUAGCAACCUAACGUAGAUAUGGCCUCUGGAAAAAAAAAAAAAAAAAAGACAUUCUGUUUGAAGUGUUACAAAACUACUGGUUAAAAGAAGUGACAUGAAGACAUGAUGAAGGUCCAAAUUCUUUAAAUUGUAUGUGAAUUUAUUUAAAAAUGACCAAAUUUGUAAUUUUCCUCUCCCAUGAAAGCUGGUAAAAGGAGUUUGAUAAUCUACACCUGUAAAGCCAUUACAAAAAGAUUGCCCAUCAACUGGAAACACAUGGCAGUUAGAACCAUAGGGACUUUCUAGUCUCAAAUCCCAGUCUUGUGCUACUGUAGACAGCCAUGUCUUAAGUGGUGCCAACAGCUAGUUUAUCGAUGUCGAGGAACUAUUUUGGGAUAGUUUUCCUCUGCUGAGUCUCCGUAAAAUCAUUACAAUACAUAUAAAAUUAUACAAAACCAUUUUCCUCUCCAAUUGAAAUCACUUUAGGCUCCUCAGGUGAUCAUUAACUUAUAUAUUGAUCAGCUCUGUUGAGAAAGGCAUAGACUGAGUUCUAGCAAUGCCUAACAAAACAGAAAAAUGGAUGUUACAAGAGGGAUACAGAGCACUAGAAUUGCAAUCAUAAAGUAACUGCAAUUCAAGUUUGCUCUAUGAGAUUACUAUAAAUUCCUACAGAUUCAAGUUUUAAAUAUGGCUUACUCUAACUUCAGUACACUUGAAUAUACCUGAGCAUUUACGCACAAACUAACUGUUCAGUUUGCACCAUAAAUUGGAUUAAUGUGUUGAGCUUUUCAAAUCAUAAUGAUUGAAGUGACAGUGAUAAUUACAAGUAUUCUAAAGCAUAUGACAACAUAGUUCCAUUGUAAUUGUGGUGAGGAAAGUCUUGGCUUUUGCAAAUGCAAUACCAAAGCAUCCAUUGUUCGCAUUAAGCUUGAGUUUUCCUUGCUAUAAAACAUGACAAGCAGUGUCCUGAUAAUUGUUCAUUAUCUAUUGACUGGGAAUGUUUUGUUUAGCAGGACACACAAUGAGGUCCUUAUACUUCUUCACUGUACUCCAUGUGCCACUGGAGCACAGACAUUGGAAGUAUAUGUCAGAUUCACUGUACGAAUGAGCUGUUGAUCUGGUAAUGGUACAGACAUUUUGUGCUUUAAUGUGACACUCAAAACAUGCUUUAAAGGAGGUACUAAAACAGAGAAUUACUGUUUAUUGAGUAGGUGAGGAAGACAAUUGUAAGUAUGCUGUAUGAAAAAGAUUGUUGUGAAGUUAUGUAGAAGCCAGACAAUUUCUGUGAUUGUCUAAUUCUAAUUUUCCAUUUCUUUGCUGUCUGAUGAGAAGUUGGACCAUAACUUGCAGAAAAUCUUGUCUCUUGUUUGAAGUAACAUGAAAUGUUUGUAGAUUGCAGAAAUAGUUGUAGUUAUAUGUUUAAUGUCUUUUGAUUUCAGUAUCUAGUGGAUAGAUAGAAGGCCUCAAAAGAAAAAAAUAAUGAACAGGCAUCCCUUGAGAGAUUCCAGUAUCCCUAUUGUAACAAAUAAUUUCUGAAGUGCUUUCUGAAACAUUUGUUUUUAAGCAAAUAUUAGAAGAUGUACAUGUACAACAAAAUGAGUCAAAAGAGUCAUUAUAUUGACAACAAAACUCCCUUAAAGAAUUAGUUUCAGCUUUCUGAAAGUAGGAAAAGUUCAUGUGACCCAGCCAUACUACAAAGAUUACUAAAGAAACUGAGUUUUAAACUCUUACAACUCACACUGAACUCAUUCUAUAAGACAAAAUAGUACUGGGAGUACUUGCAGGCACUGUAAUUCAACCCACAGUUUUCAUUCCCUCCAUCUCUUUCAUUCCUUUAUUGUAUUAUAUUAAACCAAACAGAUAAUUUAAGCAAUUAAAGACAAAAUAAUUUUCCUGGCCUAAAAAUUACACUGGUUUCAUCAAACUUGUUCUAAAAAAGCAGGAAAUUUGUCCUAAGCACUGUCCGUACUUGAUUUAAGGUUUAUAUCAAAAUUCAGCAGUGUGAUAUUAGUAUAAUAUAGAAAUGGUUGUACGGAUUAGAAAGGAUAACAUUAAAGUUCCAGAAGAUUAAAAUAUUUACUACUUGACUAAGGCAUACAUAAUUAAGCUGGCACCGCCUUACUACAACUUCAUAUUUGAAAGUUUAGUUUUGGAAAGGUUUUAAAGGAUUACUUUUAUUAAAAUAUCUCGGGUUGCUAGAAAUAGACCUUAUGGCAGACUAACAGAAAACCCCAUGCAAGGUCACAUACUUCCUACUUCUUGAAUAAAGAAAAGCGUGUUGAACUUCUUUGCCAAAUUCCCGCUUUUGUGCCUUUGUUCUAAAUAAACUCAAGAGUGUUAGGGAGCUCAUUUCCAGGGCCUUUCUUCUUCUUGCAUCUCUACACAGAUUAAGAUUCCAUUUCUAAAAGCAACAGAUAAUUGGGGAUCUUUUGAAAUCAAGUACUUGUAUUUUCUAUUUUUAGUCUCAUUAAUAAUGAUGAACUGAAAUUCUUUCCAGAAUUUCACCUCUUCAGCUUAGGAACGGGUAGUCAAAACUUGCAAUAACUACUUGGUUUGUGUUUUAUGUUAAUGGCUGAACAGCCUUGGGAAAGGAACAGCUUGCUAGUUUAAUUUAAGCUGGCAAUAUUUCCAUGUCCUAUUUCAGGUGGUAGGUACUGUAGCAACCAAGGUCAUGUAAGAAACUUCCAGCAUAUGGUAACAGCUGUGCAUGUGCUAGCAGUAUUUUCUGUAGAUGGUUUAUUCAUCAUUAGAUAAUAGUCAUGAUUAUUAAGGGACUAAUUGGACCUUUGAACAGUUCAUCUUGGAGAGUGGAGGAAUUAGAAGAGAAAAUUGUUGUGCAGCUUAGUGGGGUAUCUGUAUUCAGCUCCUUGCCAACUCUCAGGGUUUUUUUUAAUAUAAUAAAAUAUUUUCUUUCUUUAUUUGCCUUCGGCCAAAGUGUUUCUUCAUCUCCUUCUAGAAAGAGGAUGUAAUUUCCAUCUUCCAGUUUUUCUAAAUACUAGUGUCAUCUUUCUGCAAUAUAUAGUGCUACCAGUAAAUAUCUGUGUUGCGAUUAUGAUAUUUAAAUACUUGCCAUACCAUACAGUUCAUGACAUCAUAGUGAACUUAUCCUCAUACAGGGCAGCUUUGCACAUUUGUAAAAGGUCGAAGGGACUGGAUAUUUAAUCAGGGUACACAGACAAUUGAGCAUUAUUCUCUACCUUUCAAUAAUCAGCAGGACACAUUCUGCUGAUCCAAAUCAAACAAUAAAUGAGUCCAUUUCCCAAGAAACUAGGAGGCAAAAUUUUACCAGACUAAAGAAGGUUGUAAGGAUUCCAGAAUCAUUACUACUCCUUACCCCAGAGCUAUAACAUGCUUUAAUCUGGAGGGUGUGAUAUGAUGGUGUGAGAGAUUGAGAGCAGAGGUUACAUAGAAUUAUUCUGAUCAUGCAGCCAGAAUUAUAUCCUGAAAGACAACAAAUCAAACUAGACAUUUUAAACUGCUUUUCUGUCUAUUGUCAAGUAGACAAGAUAUAUGACUCUUCCAUUGAUUUUGGAUGUAACUUUUGAAGACUGAAGUACUACACAGGAGUAUAUGUGACAGAAUUAAUCUCUUACAAGAUGUAUUGAAAACCAGUGUUAAUUUUCCUCAGUGUUCUCUUAUGGACUUGGAGCAUUUUAUCAUGACAUAAUAUUCAUAGAAUCAUAGAAUCAUAGAAUCACCGAGGUUGGAAAAGACCCACAGGAUCAUGCAGUCCAACCAUCCACCCAUCACCAACAGUUCUCACUAA